rnacentral:lncRNA from 1 species
CAACAUUGAGAGCUGUUUGGGGAAAACACUGGAAGUGAAGGAAACCACGAACUUUGAAAAAAGGCUUCAGAUAUGAAAAAGAAGUAAAUAACUAAUAGUUAUUUAUAGUUAUUGAACUGUACAGUUAUUUCCCCAAAUAGUUUAGGGCUGUACCAGAAGUAGUGUAGGAACCCUCUUUGAUAGGUUUGCAGGAUCUUUUGGAGCACAAGAGCUUCAGUAUGAUGCCUGCCAAGCUGAACAAGAACGACAAUUUAGCUGUUUCCCAUGUUAAAUAUAUUGCACUGUGCCAACUGUUUUCCAGCAAUCAGCACCACCUUUAAGUGAGCAACUCCGGAAUGAAGAAAAAAAUGAAAUAGAUGUAUCAGGCCCAAUCUCAAGAUACUUCAGCUACUAAGUAGCCUUUUUCAAACAGAGAAUCUUCAGAAACUUCACAGCUCAAGAUAGAAUUAGAAACUUCUUUAAGGAGCUUGCUGCAGAGAUGGCAAGAUUGCA